rnacentral:rRNA from 1 species
CAAUAGCGUAUAUUAAAGUUGUUGCGGUUAAAAAGCUCGUAGUUGGAUUUCUGCCGAGGACGACCGGUCCGCCCUCUGGGUGAGUAUCUGGCUCGGCCUGGGCAUCUUCUUGGAGAACGUAGCUGCACUUGACUGUGUGGUGCGGUAUCCAGGACUUUUACUUUGAGGAAAUUAGAGUGUUUCAAGCAGGCUUACGCCUUGAAUACAUUAGCAUGGAAUAAUAAGAUAGGACCUCGGUUCUAUUUUGUUGGUUUCUAGAGCUGAGGUAAUGAUUAAUAGGGAUAGUUGGGGGCAUUCGUAUUUAACUGUCCGAGGUGAAAUUCUUGGAUUUGUUAAAGACGGACUACUGCGAAAGCAUUUGCCAAGGAUGUUUUCAUUGA